ensembl:lncRNA
CUGAACUAAAGCUGCACUAGAGAUGUUACAGUGGAGAACAACCUUAAAAGGAGACAAUAAAUGGAAUUGGGAUAUCCAAGUGUAUUUUUUAAAGUAUGGCCAUUAGUACGUCUUGAUUUAAAUGCUGUAUCUAAACAUUUAAAUAUAGUGUUAAUACAGUGAAAUAUCGGGCGAUUAUCAUAUAAGGCUUUUCAGAAGUGCUGAUUUCAUGUUAAUAGAUCCUGUUUUCACCUCAUUCAUUAUACUGAUGUCUUCAAAUCACCUGUAAACUGCCACUUAAAGCUCAUUAAAUUGGUGUAAAAAGACUGAAAUCAACUACAGUUCAAUGAAGUUUAAAUGUUUUUGUUGCUUACACUAACAUCUGCAUACUUAGUUCAGAAUCAGUUUACUCUUGUUUAAAUCAUAUAUUUUUAUAUUUGAUUUAUUUAUAUAUGUUUUCAUCUAUUUCUUUGUUAGUUUGUUCGUAUAAAUAAAUGAAAAUGUUAAGGUUUAUAUUAGAUUGACUUGCAAAUAAAUAAAAAAAAUAUUAAUAGAAUGUGAACUUUUACGUUUAUCUGUCCAUUUAUGAAAAUGUGAACACAAAUCAAUGAAUGCUUAAAAUGUGUGAAAUAAUGAAAACAUAAAUUCAUUAACCGAGUAUUUUGGAUUUUAGCAGAUCUGCUAUUCCUGCCACACAGCUUGAAGCUCCUCCCACAACAACUCACCUUUAGUGAAGCUCCUCCCACAACAAUUUGCCUUCAAUGAAACUCCUCCCAAAACAACUCACCUUCAAUGAAGCUCCUCCCACAACAACUCACCUUCAGAAGGGACUGAAGAACAAAGAGGUGCACCAUCAGUGGACCCAUGCUAUCCUGAUUAUGUUCCAUCAAUCUUCACACACAAAAACGCCACUGAUGGUUCAUAGAAUUUGGAGCGAUACCAGAGGAGAUCAUCUGUGGUUGAGCCCAUGUAUUCAACUUCCAUAGAGGUCACACAGACUGAUCCUGAAGAACAACACAGUCUCACUCGCUACUCGUCAAAUGUCUGACGCAUUGUCAAGGGAUCUGGCGUCACUUUUU